UUCGAGGUGGACUUUGCAUGCUUUACUUUGU
rnacentral:piRNA from 1 species